AACGAACGCUGGCGGCAUGCCUAACACAUGCAAGUCGAACGAGACCUUCGGGUCUAGUGGCGCACGGGUGCGUAACGCGUGGGAACCUGCCCUUAGGUUCGGAAUCACUCCCCGAAAGGGGUGCUAAUACCGGUUAAUGUCUUCGGACCAAAGAUUUAUCGCCUUUGGAUGGGCCCGCGUUGGAUUAGCUAGUUGGUAGGGUAAAAGCCUACCAAGGCGAGGAUCCAUAGCUGGUCUGUGAGGAUGAUCAGCCACAAUGGGACUGAGACACGGCCCAGAACCCUACGGGAGGGAGCAGUGGGUAAUAUUGUACAAGGGGCGAAAGCCUGAUAAAGCAAUGCCGCGUGAGUGAUGAAGGCCUUAGGGUUGUAAAGCUCUUUGAGCCGGGAUGAUAAUGACAGUACCGGGAGAAUAAGCACCGGCUAACUACGUG
rnacentral:rRNA from 1 species